UCGCCGAUAGCUCAAGCGGUAGAGAAUUGGGCUUAACGUUACAACCAAAAUGUCCCGAGUUCAAUUCCGGUUGUUUAU